rnacentral:rRNA from 1 species
GACGAACGCUGGCGGCGUGCCUAAUACAUGCAAGUCGAGCGGACUUUCAAGAAGCUUGCUUUUUGAAAGUUAGCGGCGGACGGGUGAGUAACACGUGGGCAACCUGCCUGCAAGACGGGGAUAACUCCGGGAAACCGGGGCUAAUACCGGAUAAUAUCUUCCUUCGCAUGAAGGAAGGUUGAAAGGCGGCGCAAGCUGCCGCUUGCAGAUGGGCCCGCGGCGCAUUAGCUAGUUGGUGAGGUAACGGCUCCCCAAGGCGACGAUGCGUAGCCGACCUGAGAGGGUGAUCGGCCACACUGGGACUGAGACACGGCCCAGACUCCUACGGGAGGCAGCAGUAGGGAAUCUUCCGCAAUGGACGAAAGUCUGACGGAGCAACGCCGCGUGAGCGAAGAAGGUCGUCGGAUCGUAAAGCUCUGUUGUCAGGGAAGAACAAGUACCGUUCGAACAGGGCGGUACCUUGACGGUACCUGACCAGAAAGCCACGGCUAACUACGUG